rnacentral:rRNA from 1 species
UUUUGGUCAAGCUAAUAAGGGCAUACGGUGGAUGCCUUGGUACAGAGAGGCGAUGAAGGACGUGGUAAGCUGCGAUAAGCCUCGGGGAGGUGCAAACAACCUUUGAUCCGAGGAUUUCCGAAUGGGGCAACCCGAUGCGGGUCAUGCCGCAUCACCCCCGGGUGAAUAUAUAGCUCGGGUGGGGCUAACGGGGUGAACUGAAACAUCUAAGUAACCCCUGGAAUAGAAAGCAACCGCGAUUUCCUCAGUAGUGGCGAGCGAAAGGGAAAUAGCCCAAACCGGUUCGCAUGUUAAAACCUGCAUGUGUUGUGCGACCGGGGUUGUGGGGUGAGAUCUGAUAGAGAUGCAGACCUGUCAGGGAGUUACAAAUUUGCAAUGUAGCCAAACAGUUCUGGAAAGUCUGGCCGCAGAAGGUGAAAGCCCUGUAGGCGAAACAUUGCAAACUCCUGUGAUCUCAUUCCCGAGUACUGCGGGACACGUGAAAUCCUGUAGGAAUCUGGGAGGACCACCUCCCAAGGCUAAAUACUCCUCUGUGACCGAUAGUGAACUAGUACCGUGAGGGAAAGGUGAAAAGUACUCCUGAAUGGAGAGUGAAAUAGAACCUGAAACCGUUUGCUUACAAGCGGUCGGAGGACAAACCGCGAUCUUCGGAUCUCGGGGAGUCUGACGGCGUGCCUUUUGCAUAAUGAGCCGGUGAGUUACUCCUGAGUUGCAAGGUUAACCUACUUUGUAGGGAAGCCGUAGCGAAAGCGAGUCUGAAUAGGGCGAUACAGUAGCUUGGGGUAGACCCGAAGCCAGGUGAUCUACCCAUGGCCAGGAUGAAGCGUGAUUAACCUCACGUGGAGGUCCGAACCCACCAAUGUUGAAAAAUUGGGGGAUGAGCUGUGGGUAGGGGUGAAAGGCCAAUCAAACCUGGAGAUAGCUGGUUCUCCUCGAAAUAGCUUUUGGGCUAGCCUCUUGUUAUAGAGUGGCGGAGGUAGAGCACUGGAUAGGCUCGGGGGCUUCACCGCUUACCAACCCUAACCAAACUCCGAAUGCCGCAUACUUAUUCCAAGGGAGUCAGCGCAUGGGGGAUAAGCUUCAUGUGCGAGAGGGAAACAACCCAGACCACCAGCUAAGGUCCCUAAGUACAGGCUAAGUGAUAAAGGAUGUGGGAGUGCGUAGACAGCCAGGAUGUUGGCUUAGAAGCAGCCAUUCAUUUAAAGAGUGCGUAACAGCUCACUGGUCAAGUGAACCUGCGCCGAUAAUGAUCGGGACUAAAGCCUGUCACCGAAGCUGUGGGCUUCAACUUUUGUUGGAGCGGUAGAGGAGUAUUCUAUUGUAGGCUGAAGGCAGACUGUGAAGUCUGCUGGACGACGUGGAAGCAAUCAUGCCGGCAUGAGUAGCGAUAAAACAGGUGAGAAUCCUGUUCACCGAAAGUCUAAGGUUUCCUGGGGAAGGUUCGUCCGCCCAGGGUUAGUCGGACCCUAAGCCGAGGCCGAAAGGCGUAGGCGAUGGGAAACAGGUUAAAAUUCCUGUACCACCUUAGAGACGUUUGAACUAUGGGGUAACGCAGAAGUGACGAUCAGCCCGCGACUGGAAAUGCGGGUCUAAGCCUGUAGGGGGAUCACCAGGGAAAAUACGGGUGAUCACAACCCUGAGAGGUGAUGGGGAAACGAGCCUUCGGGCAAGCCAACUGGUCUUAAUCAUGCUGCCGAGAAAAACCUCUAUGUGAGUCUCUCGGGUGUCCGUACCGCAAACCGACACAGGUAGACGGGGUGAGAAUCCUAAGGUGCGCGAGAGAACCCCUGUUAAGGAACUAGGCAAAAUGGCUCCGUAACUUCGGGAGAAGGAGUGCCUCCAAGUAGGUGAACGGACUUGCUCCGGGAGCUGAAGGGGGCCGCAGAGAAACGGCCUGGGCGACUGUUUACUAAAAACACAGGUCUCUGCUAAGUCGCAAGACGACGUAUAGGGACUGACACCUGCCCGGUGCCAGUAGGUCAAGAGGAAAGGUUAGUCUUCGGACGAAGCUUUGAAUCGAAGCUCUGGUAAACGGCGGCCGUAACUAUAACGGUCCUAAGGUAGCGAAAUUCC